rnacentral:rRNA from 1 species
AGAGUUUGAUCCUGGCUCAGAGCGAACGCUGGCGGCAGGCUUAACACAUGCAAGUCGAACGGGCACUUCGGUGUCAGUGGCAGACGGGUGAGUAACACGUGGGAACGUACCCUUCGGUUCGGAAUAACUCAGGGAAACUUGAGCUAAUACCGGAUACGCCCUUUUGGGAAAGGUUUACUGCCGAAGGAUCGGCCCGCGUCUGAUUAGCUAGUUGGUGGGGUAACGGGCCUACCAAGGCGACGAUCAGUAGCUGGUCUGAGAGGAUGAUCAGCCACACUGGGACUGAGACACGGCCCAGACUCCUACGGGAGGCAGCAGUGGGGAAUAUUGGACAAUGGGCGCAAGCCUGAUCCAGCCAUGCCGCGUGUGUGAUGAAGGCCUUAGGGUUGUAAAGCACUUUUGUCCGGGACGAUAAUGACGGUACCGGAAGAAUAAGCCCCGGCUAACUUCGUG